CUACUUACCUAGCAGGGGAGACACCUUGAUCACAAAGGUGGUUAUGCCAGGGCAAGUGUUAUCCAUUGCAUUCCGGUUAUGCUGUCCCCUGAGAUUUCUGGGAAUGUGGGUUGCUUGGCUGCAUACCUCUACUGUGGUAGUAGGAGACAAUAUUUGCACUCUCCCCUU
ensembl:snRNA U1 U1 spliceosomal RNA